rnacentral:lncRNA from 1 species
CUGCUGGUUGGCUGGGGGCGGUUCCCCUGGGUCACACGGCACGCGGAAAGGCGGCUGCUUGCCGAUGCACCGACAAUCCCAACGGAUUUCCUAAAAAAACAAUCCCAACGGAUGGAAUAGUCCAGCAGUGUGUCCCGUACGUACUCCCGUGUAUAUAUGCUUAAUCACUAUAACUCGACGAUCUAGAAGAAAUUGGUUGCACGCUACUACUCUCUGCUAACAACUGAACGGAUCUUUUCUCAAAAAAGAAAAAAAACUGAACGGAUCUAUGGGCUAAUCUUCUGUCCCUAAUGACCAAGCCUUUGGCGAAAAAAGAGAGGGGCAAGCUAGCUAGGUACGUAGGUGAUGAUUUUUAUGCA